GAAUGUGAAGAUAAUCUAGUUGUGACAUUCAUCACUGCAGAUGAUCCCUAGGGGUGAGUCUUAAGUCCUCAUUAGCUAGGGACUUGUCUUUUUUCCUAACGGUUCUCUGUAGCUUUUAUUCCAAGGAUAUGUGAUUGGAAAAUCUUCCUAUAAUAGAGACCGUUUUUCAAUCAAGAAUAUGUACAAGUCUGUGCUUCCCUGCUUGAACAGGUGCUCAAGAUCCUUUUGUAGGCAAAAUUUUCAAGUAGUCAUGAUUCCAAAAUUCAGUCUCAUCCAAAUGAGAUGCUGCAUCAUGCAUCAAUCAACCUUU
rnacentral:snRNA from 1 species